CCGGAGCCGUCGGUUGCUAUUUCGGCGCGAUGCUCGCAAGGGCCGGGAAUCUGGUAACCCUGAUAGGGCGUUCCCAGCAUGUAGAAGCGGUCAGGCGGCACGGCCUCCUGCUGGAACACCGCGAUUUCAGGGAUCACGUGCAGGUAUCCGCCACGACUGACGCCGUCGGUGUGUUGUGGACGCGGAUAUCGUUCUGUUUUGUGUGAAAUCGGCUGAUACGGAAGUUGCGGGGCGCCUGAUCGCCCCGCACUUGAAGCACGGUGCUGUGGUCUUGUGCU
rnacentral:misc_RNA from 1 species